rnacentral:lncRNA from 1 species
GGACGAGAGGGGAGAACCUCUCCCCAUCUAGGGAGAGGCCAUGGAGGAGGAAACCUAAUGGGGGAUACUCCCUUCCCCUCUCUUCAGGUAGCGCCGGAGUGCUGCUGGGGGAACCAUCAUCGGGUUAUUGUCUUCAUCAACAUCACCAUCUCCAUGACCUUCCCCCAUCCAUCUAUGGCGGUCCACUCUCCCGCACCCCGCUGCAAUCCCCUACUUGAACAUGGUGUUUCAUGCCACAUAUUAUUAAUCAAUGAUGUGUUGACAUCCUACGAUUUUUGAGUAGAUUCAUGUUGUCC